GUCUGGGCGGGCCUGAGUAACUUUCCUCAGCAUCAGCUCUCCUCCUCUGGGUGGAGCCCUUCCUGCCCCUCCCCGUUCCUCAACUGCAGGCAAUUAUUCUGGCAGUAUUUAGGAGCAGCGCACACUAUGAGUGUUCGCCAGAUCGUCUGCUAACCUCAUCGGUACCUGGACUCAUCAUUCCAAAACCUGCCAUAGCCUCGUUCCUGGAUUCCGGUCAACUGCUGCUUAAUCCUUUUCAGACAAACUGCCAUUCACACCUGCCUGCCUCCCUGCAUACCUGUAUUGGACUCAGCACUCGCCUGGACCUCGCCUCGCCUCCACCUUCAGCUAAUCCCCGCCUGCGAACACUGCCCUGGUCUGCCACAGCUUCCACCAGCCCCACUCCAGUUUCAGCAGUUUAGUGACCUGACUGUUCC